rnacentral:rRNA from 1 species
GAUGAACGCUGGCGGCGUGCCUAAUACAUGCAAGUCGAGCGAACAGACGAGGAGCUUGCUCCUCUGACGUUAGCGGCGGACGGGUGAGUAACACGUGGAUAACCUACCUAUAAGACUGGGAUAACUUCGGGAAACCGGAGCUAAUACCGGAUAAUAUAUUGAACCGCAUGGUUCAAUAGUGAAAGACGGUUUUGCUGUCACUUAUAGAUGGAUCCGCGCCGCAUUAGCUAGUUGGUAAGGUAACGGCUUACCAAGGCAACGAUGCGUAGCCGACCUGAGAGGGUGAUCGGCCACACUGGAACGGAGACACGGUCCAGACUCCUACGGGAGGCAGCAGUAGGGAAUCGUCCGCAAUGGGCGAAAGCAUGACGGAGCAACGCCGCGUGAGUGAUGAAGGUCUUCGGAUCGUAAAACUCUGUUAUUAGGGAAGAACAAAUGUGUAAGUAACUAUGCACGUCUUGACGGUACCUAAUCAGAAAGCCACGGCUAACUACGUG